UACAGAGGGGGCAAGCGUUGUUCGGAAUUACUGGGCGUAAAGGGCGCGUAGGCGGCCUUCUAAGUCGAACGUGAAAUCCCUGGGCUCAACCCAGGAACUGCGUCCGAUACUGAAAGGCUUGAAUCCGGGAGAGGGAUGCGGAAUUCCAGGUGUAGCGGUGAAAUGCGUAGAUAUAUGGAAGAACAUCAAUAACGGCGAAGGCAGUUAACUAUUCUGCUACUGACAUUGAGGCACGAAAGCGUGGGGAGCAAAAAGG
rnacentral:rRNA from 1 species